rnacentral:misc_RNA from 1 species
AAUGCUUCACCUAUAGGCCUCUUGCUUCUCUCUCUUCGCCGGCAGCCUUGAUCUCAACGGAAACCCCUCCGAUCACCGGAUUCGAUUCGAUAAUCGAAUCCAGGAACUCAUAUUUAUUUUCUGUCCAUACUCUCGCACACAAAUUGUGUUGUUUUGUUUUCAUUUCGCCAUUUUAGUAUCGUUAAUCGUGAGAUACAGAGUUCUUAAUCAUUAAUUUAGAUGGAGGAUUAUGGAGGGAGUGACGAUGAGUGCUAUUACUCUGAUGAUCGAGAAUCGCUCAAUGGUCUUGAGAAUGAGGACUCCGAUUUUCAUUGGGUCCCUUCUAAGGGUCCCACUACCAGG